AGUCGAACGGCAGCACGGGGGCAACCCUGGUGGCGAGUGGCGAACGGGUGAGUAAUACAUCGGAACGUGUCCUGUAGUGGGGGAUAGCCCGGCGAAAGCCGGAUUAAUACCGCAUACGCUCUGCGGAGGAAAGCGGGGGAUCCUUCGGGACCUCGCGCUACAGGGGCGGCCGAUGGCAGAUUAGCUAGUUGGUGGGGUAAAGGCCUACCAAGGCGACGAUCUGUAGCUGGUCUGAGAGGACGACCAGCCACACUGGGACUGAGACACGGCCCAGACUCCUACGGGAGGCAGCAGUGGGGAAUUUUGGACAAUGGGCGAAAGCCUGAUCCAGCAAUGCCGCGUGUGUGAAGAAGGCCUUCGGGUUGUAAAGCACUUUUGUCCGGAAAGAAAACCUCCGAGUUAAUACCUUGGGGGGAUGACGGUACCGGAAGAAUAAGCACCGGCUAACUACGUGCCAGCAGCCGCGGUAAUACGUAGGGUGCAAGCGUUAAUCGGAAUUACUGGGCGUAAAGCGUGCGCAGGCGGUCCGCUAAGACAGAUGUGAAAUCCCCGGGCUUAACCUGGGAACUGCAUUUGUGACUGGCGGGCUAGAGUAUGGCAGAGGGGGGUAGAAUUCCACGUGUAGCAGUGAAAUGCGUAGAGAUGUGGAGGAAUACCGAUGGCGAAGGCAGCCCCCUGGGCCAAUACUGACGCUCAUGCACGAAAGCGUGGGGAGCAAACAGGAUUAGAUACCCUGGUAGUCCACGCCCUAAACGAUGUCAACUAGUUGUCGGGUCUUCAUUGACUUGGUAACGUAGCUAACGCGUGAAGUUGACCGCCUGGGGAGUACGGUCGCAAGAUUAAAACUCAAAGGAAUUGACGGGGACCCGCACAAGCGGUGGAUGAUGUGGAUUAAUUCGAUGCAACGCGAAAAACCUUACCUACCCUUGACAUGUAUGGAAUCUGGCUGAGAGGUCAGAGUGCCCGAAAGGGAGCCAUAACACAGGUGCUGCAUGGCUGUCGUCAGCUC
rnacentral:rRNA from 1 species